GACUGGACCAAAAUAUCGUCAAGAAGGCCUCUAGCACAGCUCUUCUCCCCUGCUUUUCAGUGGCAGCACCAUCGCAUGCGCUCGUCGCUGGCUCGGCUGCGUACCGCCGCCAACCAUAGCUUCAGCGGAUGGAAGAUGUAUGCCGCAGCGUCUCUCCCGAUCUCUUUUUCCGAAUGGAUUUGAGGGAGCCUUCAGCCCUUCACAGGAACUUUUUCUUGGAUCUGCUACAAAAUAGAUUGAGAAUUGGGGACUAUUCAUCAGAGGGAUUAGAGUUGGUAUCGUGAUCUUCUGGAAGUAUGUGGUAUGAGAGAGAUGAUGUUAUAUUCAGUAGAGUUGAUAUCCAUUGCCAAAUGAAAAAGCACGAAUGGCCAUUUUGAGUCGCUUGGUGACAUGAUGAUUCGAGGAGCAUGACCGGCAAACCUACCUUCAGUUUUAACUUAUGGUCUGGUAUUCCUGGGGACGUUAAGGUGUUGAGGAGCUCAGUAGGCUGCAUGUUCAUCAUGAUGUUGGUAUUUGUCGUUGCCUUGCACACUGUGUCCAGGCUUAGGUAUGUCACCUCUUCACCUUGUAUUUGGCUCAUUAUGUGGUCAUUUAUCUCCUUGACUGUAUCAUUUCAUGGACAUAGUAUUGCUCUUUCUUCUAGGUAAUCCCACUCACGGUAUUUUUGCAGCAAAUUUGGGUAUAUGCUUUUGACGAUUUGUUCUUUACA